rnacentral:lncRNA from 1 species
ACUCUUAUGGCCGGCCAAGCAAGGGAACAAAGAGAAAAAGAGAAGAACAAACCCUAGGAAGGAAAAAUCCAUGAGAAAUUGUUGGAUUUCAAAGAAUCAAGCAAGUAAAUGUAAGAUUUUUUUUUAUUUUAGCUUGUGAUCUACCUUUCCCAUGCAUUUUUUUUUCAUUCUCCAUGGCUGAAAUUCAAGUUUUCAAGAGGGAACCUUUAUUGGCCAAACUUAAAGAGAGAAGUUUUGGUGAUGAAUUUUGCUAGAUUUCAUAAUAUCCUAGUGUUUUUAGUCAUUUUGUGAUGUUUGGAAGGAAAAACAAACAAGAAAAUCACAUGUUCUUCAACCACCCUCAUUUGGCCGAAUUUUCUAUAGGGCAUGUUGAUGAUGGAUUUGGUUGUAAUUCAUGUUAUUUAGCUCGUAAUUGAUGAUUUAUGGUAUCGGAUAUCGAAAUCGAAAUGAAUUUCGGUUAUGGUGAAUUAAGUCACAAUUAAGCUCAUUGAGGUACUUUGGUGUAUUUGGAAUAUUGGAAGUGUAAUGAAGAUAUUGGGAGUUGAAUUGGAUGUUUUGGCUAAUUAAACAAGGCAUAGUGCGAGUUAGGUCGAAUGCCAAUUCAGUCUGAUCAUAAUUGAACCCACGUAGAACAUCGUCUUUAAAUGAUUAUUCAGACAAUUCUCAUUCAAUGUCAUGCAUUCAUAUAGAGCCUGAAAUAGUUUUAUAACAGUUUGGCACAAAUAUAUUGAAUUACGUGUCGUGUAUCAUGUAUAGGUGGUGAGCCCUCUGAUAAAGGUAAAGAUAUUGUACCCGAGGACCAAGAAUAAAAGUACUCCAAACUCUUGCUAUUGUGAGUAAUCAAAUGUUCAUCUUAACUAUCUAAAGUAGUUUAUAUUCGUUUUUUUAUGAUUUUAAAGAAUAAUGAACUUAAACUGUAGAUUUUUAUGUUUUACAAUUUAAGUGAUGGUUAAAUGAAUGAGAUUUAUAAAUUGUUUUGCAUUUCAAUGAUAAUUUUGGAAAUUGAGUAAGUGGAGAUUAAAUACUUGUGUUAUCUAUAUAUAUAUAUAUAUGUGGUUUGAUUGAUGGCUUAUGACAAUGUGAUGGCAUGAAUAGUUGGAUUUGUGGUUUUUGGAUUAUAUGAACUAUUUUUGUUUUACCUUGACAGGCUGGAUAAUAUCAUAUUAGCCAUGUCAUGCUAUCGAAAUGUUUAUUGAUUUGGUGGGUUAUUUGAUUAGCUUACUGCAGUGGGCGGGUUUCCGUGGAUCAGCCUAUUAGAGGGGCACGGUAAACCUUGUUAUAUUUUACCUUAGUAUGAAAGACGCGGAGGGUAUCUCCUAAGGCAAGUUUAGAGUUCACUUCACGCCCAACCACCACGUGAGGAUGAAACUCAACCAACGCCAAGCAAUGACUAUAUUUUAAAAGUAAAAACAUGUUUUAUGGGUAUAUGUCGUUUUAACAUCUUUGGCGAACUCGGUUGGAUGCCCGGGCCAAGGUGUCACCAAGUAUGAGUUUUGGCACAAGCCAAGUUUUUUAAGAGAAUCAUAAGCCUUGUUGAUUAUUUUGAUGAAAUGUAAUUGUUUUAUAGGAAUUGAAAUGAGUUUUGAAUGUUCUAAACUAUAUUAUGAUGGGAUGAUUUAACUGUCUCCAUUUACUCGGAUUUAGAUGUUAUAGAUGAAUUUUGCUUACUCACUGGGUUUGUAAAAACUCACCCCUUCUUUUUAUCUAUUUCAGGCUCAGGACAGUCUGUAGACAGCCGAUUUUGUCGAGGGUUGCUUUUGGAUUUGCAUCCUUAAACAUAUUUAAGGUUAUUUUGGGGCCCACAUGUCAUUGUAGAAUAUUUUCGUAUACUUGGUUUAGUGUGCUAUUAUAUAUAUGAAUUUAUUUUGUUCUUACGCUACAAAAAAUUAUUUAUGCAGGAUUCUAUAAAUAUUGUUUUAUAAGAAAAUAAAAUAUUUUAUUUAAUAUUUUUAUUUAGUUUGAUUAGC